CAGCUCACGUCCUCCCCAACCCCCCGCCGUUCGCCUUUCUUUAAAGGGAGAUUCAGAAAGUCCCCUAUGAAGUCCCCCCCUCUCUCCCCACCGCCUCCUCCCCUCCCUCUUAUUGAAAUCUCCUUGAGACAUUUAUGCGGGAAGUAAAGGCAGCGGCAAGCACGCGGGGUUCGGCAGCCAAAAGGGAAAGCGAAGGGCUUGUCGCUCGGAGUCAGUAGUUUUUUAGGGGUCGUGACUACGAGACGGCUCUCCGAGUCGGGUCCGAAGGAAGGGAGGAGGGAACGCAGGGAGGGUCACUCCGCUGAGGCUUUCCCACGGUCACACCACCAUCUCUUUAACACCAGGAUAACGAAACACCCGUGGAGAGAUUCUUAUUUAAAAUGCACGUCUCUUGGAAAAUAUCUUCUUCAACACUUCACAAACAGCUCUGGCUUGCACCACCCACCAAGAGCAUUGCUGGUUGUCUAUUGAUCAUCCAGUGAGUUGCUGGAUACUGUUGGUAUGCCAGAUUUAGACUGUGUGCUGAAGACUGCCAUAUACAGAACUGAGCACACUGUUGGCUUCUGGUCUUAGCAACCAACAAAUAAUUUAGAGUCUGGAUAGCUGAUGAUCCCUAAAGAAGAAUGACUCAACUAGCCCUCUACUGUUGACUUCUUCAUUAGCACAGACGUAGAUCCAGGCCAAGUACUGGUUUUUCCUCUUGCAUUUAUUUGGUGGCCACUUGGAUACAGCUUAGGAAACAGUUAGUGUUUCUCUUGCAGUUGGGAAAUGUUUACUUCCAGCUGUUUAUUUCCCUCAGUGGAUUAAUAAGCCUAUUUCAAAGUGCUGCAAAAAGGAAAAAUGAGUUUUUAAAAAAGGGAAAAGAAGAACAUCUAUUGACAGAGUGCUUUCAUAAAACUCCCUUUCUCCUUCACCACAAAGGUCUAAAGGAAAGACUCAGAGCUUCCUUGACUUUCCAGUGUGCCUAAUCAAAUAGGUAAAUUAUCAAGCAUAAUAAAAUAAACUACAUCAAUUGAGGAAAAGGGAAG
rnacentral:lncRNA from 1 species